UACAAGGAUGACGACGAGGAGGAGGAAGAAGGUCGCCAGCCAGGCCUUGGGCUGAAGGUAACAACAAUUGGGCCACUCUCUCUCUUUCUGGCACUCUUUGAAAAAAAAUCUCAGGUUUUGGAGUAAAGCGAGUGGCUAAAAGAAAAAGAAAAAAGAAAAUAAAAAUAUAUUUGGGCUUCUAAAAUCAUGCUCCAAUUUUGAAAAAUAACUUGGGCAUUUUUGAAGAGUAAAAAUGAAACCCUGCUAUUUUAAAAUGAGGCUCUGUUUUAAAUGAAACAAAAGGAAAAUAAAAA
rnacentral:lncRNA from 1 species